CGCCCUUAUGGUUUGAUCCUGGCUCAGGAUGAACGCUAGCGGCAGGCUUAAUACAUGCAAGUCGAGGGGUAACAGGGAAGCUUGCUUCCGCUGACGACCGGCGCACGGGUGCGUAACACGUAUGCAACCUACCUUUAACUGGGGAAUAGCCCCGAGAAAUCGGGAUUAAUACCCCAUAACAUUCAUCUUUCGCAUGUCUGAUGAAUUAAAACUCCGGUGGUUAAAGAUGGGCAUGCGCGACAUUAGUUAGUUGGUGAGGUAACGGCUCACCAAGACAGCGAUGUCUAGGGGUUCUGAGAGGAAUAUCCCCCACACUGGUACUGAGACACGGACCAGACUCCUACGGGAGGCAGCAGUGAGGAAUAUUGGUCAAUGGACGCAAGUCUGAACCAGCCAUGCCGCGUGAAGGAUGACUGCCCUAUGGGUUGUAAACUUCUUUUGUAUGGGAAGAAACCCUGUUACGUGUAACAGGCUGACGGUACCAUAAGAAUAAGCACCGGCUAACUCCGUGCCAGCAGCCGCGGUAAUACGGAGGGUGCAAGCGUUAUCCGGAUUUAUUGGGUUUAAAGGGUGCGUAGGCGGAUUUGUAAGUCAGUGGUGAAAUCCCGAGGCUCAACCUCGGAACUGCCAUUGAAACUACAAGUCUAGAGUACAGAUGAGGUAGGCGGAAUGUAACAUGUAGCGGUGAAAUGCUUAGAUAUGUUACAGAACACCGAUUGCGAAGGCAGCUUACUAGACUGUAACUGACGCUAAGGCACGAAAGCGUGGGGAGCGAACAGGAUUAGAUACCCUGGUAGUCCACGCAGUAAACGAUGAUAACUCGAUGUUGGCGAUACACAGUCAGCGUCCAAGCGAAAGUGAUAAGUUAUCCACCUGGGGAGUACGAUCGCAAGUUUGAAACUCAAAGGAAUUGACGGGGGCCCGCACAAGCGGAGGAGCAUGUGGUUUAAUUCGAUGAUACGCGAGGAACCUUACCUGGGCUUAAAUGUAGAGUGCAUGAGUGGGAAACCAUUCUUUUCUUCGGAACUCUUUACAAGGUGCUGCAUGGUUGUCGUCAGCUCGUGCCGUGAGGUGUCGGGUUAAGUCCCAUAACGAGCGCAACCCCUAUCAUUAGUUGCCAUCAGGUCAAGCUGGGGACUCUAAUGAAACUGCCGCCGCAAGGCGUGAGGAAGGUGGGGAUGACGUCAAAUCAGCACGGCCCUUAUGUCCAGGGCUACACACGUGCUACAAUGGUCGAUACAAAGGGCAGCUACCUGGUGACAGGAUGCUAAUCUCUAAAGUCGAUCUCAGUUCGGAUCGAAGUCUGCAACUCGACUUCGUGAAGUUGGAUUCGCUAGUAAUCGUAUAUCAGCAAUGAUACGGUGAAUACGUUCCCGGGCCUUGUACACACCGCCCGUCAAACCAUGGAAGUUGGGGGUGCUUGAAGUACGUUACCGUAAGGAGCGUCCUAGGGUAAAACCGGUGACUGGGGUUAAGUCGUAACAAGGUAGCCG
rnacentral:rRNA from 1 species